GAUGAACGCUAGCGAUAGGCUUAACACGUGCAAGUCGAGGGGUAACAUGGGAGUAGCUUGCUACUUCUGAUGACGACCGGCGGAUGGGUGAGUAACGCGUAUGCAACUUGCCUCUUAGUGGGGAAUAACCCGGAGAAAUCCGGCCUAAUACCGCGUAUUCUCAAGUUGCUGCAUGGCAGUUUGAGGAAAGAUUUAUUGCUCAGAGAUAGGCAUGCGUUCCAUUAGGUAGUUGGUGAGGUAACGGCUCACCAAGCCGACGAUGGAUAGGGGAGCUGAGAGGCUGACCCCCCACACUGGGACUGAGACACGGCCCAG
rnacentral:rRNA from 1 species